UACAUACUUGGGCAAACUUACCGAAAGGUAAGGACGCAAAGCCAUGGGUCUACGGACAAGUGUCUACGACUGCCAGGUUGCUGAU
rnacentral:ncRNA from 1 species